rnacentral:rRNA from 1 species
CCUACGGGCGGCAGCAGUGAGGAAUAUUGGUCAAUGGGCGCAAGCCUGAACCAGCCAAGUCGCGUGAGGGAAGACGGCCCUACGGGUUGUAAACCUCUUUUGCCGGGGAGCAAGCCUGAGCACGUGUGCCCAGGCGGAGAGUACCCGGAGAAAAAGCAUCGGCUAACUCCGUGCCAGCAGCCGCGGUAAUACGGAGGAUGCGAGCGUUAUCCGGAUUUAUUGGGUUUAAAGGGUGCGCAGGGGGGCUGUUAAGCCGGCGGUAAAAAUUCAGGGCUCAACCCUGUCGAGCCGUCGGAAAUGGGAGUGUUGAGUGGGAGAGAAGUAUGGGGAAUGCGGGGGGUAGUGGGGAAAAGCAU